UGUUCUCGUCUUCGGUUCGGCCGCGAGCCCGCCGUGGGGCACGGCCGCAGGAAAAGCGGACAGGCGACGUGGGAAUGUCGGAUGUGCCGAGUGAUGGCUGCUCUCAAAGCUAGUGUGGGUCAGCGUGGACGGGGAGGGUGAGAGGAUGUGAUGUCCGAGAAGGAGAGUGCAUUUAGAUCAGCCGUGAGCGUGGAUUGAUAAAAGCACUCAGAGAAAUCUGUGACUGGGAGGACCGCCCUUACGCUGCCCUGGUUUUGGAGUUCUCAGAGCAGAAUUUCCCUGGGGUUUUCUGCAGGGCAAUCAGAUUUAGAAGUGACUGCUCAGAUCCCCAGCUGUACUUCUGGCUUCGCCAGCAGUUGGUGCGGGUUGCUGGGGCUGCUGCUCACCCUCAGGGAGAUUUGCAAACCCCAGCCGGGGGUUGAUCCACUCCUGAAAGCGGGUCCUCUCGACUUUGGAAUCGAGUCAUGAAUUUGUCACUUCCAAGCACGGGGCUGCACAGUGUGACAGAUGUGUGCUGCAGUCGCACUGCUUCACAUCAGGAGCAGAGGGAGGACAAUUUCCCCUUGCAGUCAUUAUGAUGCUUUGUGACAAUGAAAAGGAAAUAUUUCUGUCAGAAGAUCAAGGAGUAAGACCCAAAAGGAGCUCAUUAGUUGCCCUUCGAGGGGAUGCAUUUCAUGCUUUGGGACUCAGUAUUCUUUUCAAAACCCAGUGUGGUCACAAACUGAGUUAACCUCAUGGUGAUAGAGUGCCCUGCUGGCAUACAGUAGGUGAGCCUGGAAAUUUCUGGUGAUGCUUUAGUCACUGAAAUUUACUGCUCGUGUUCUGUCAUGUGAGAGCACGGUUGUCAUGAAUUUGGAGAAGCAGAGCUCAUCAUACAUUUUAAGAACGGGCACAGAGAUUCCCUUUGUGUUCACAAUUCUCUUUCAAACCAUUUCUGAGCAACUGAACUUGAGCUGAGGUUCACUAUGAGUGCGUGGGGGCUGCUUUUCUCUGUAAAACAAAAGCAUUCAGGAAUGGUGGAACUGAAACUUAUUUAGAAUUCAAACAUGCAAUAGCGAGAAAUGUUUUGCUCUUUGCUUUGCUGUAGUGCACUCCAGCCAGUGAGUAGAUUCAAAGGCUGCUUUGUUCAAGACACUGUUUGAACACAGCGCAACCAACCUUAACAGCUUAACACCUGCAUAGGCCAGGUUCUCUGCCUCCCCUCCAAAGAGCAGAGAUUGGAAGUGCUUGACUGUGUGUCACAGUAAGGUAAAUCAGAGCCAAAACCACAGCUCAGAUCUUUUAAAUCCCAGCCAGGCCCUGGAGCACCUGAGCUGCCUUCCUGCUGCCAUCGCUGAGGCCCUCAGGCCAUACCGCAGCCCAGUGUUUCUCAGGUGGGAUGGAGGUUGGCUGCUGCUUGCCGCAGGUGUGCCAGGAAAGUUGUUUCACUUUCAUGUAAUUUUUGACUUUGUAAGAUCACAAGGGGAAGACAUCUCCUCCGGAUGCACGUGCAGUCUGGCUGCCAUGGUCUGAGUAGCUGACAAAGCGUCUGUCCAAAAAGUCUUCCUCAUUCAACAAGAAUGUGGUAAUAAUAUCUAGCUGCAAAGCUUCAGAGGUUAACAGGACUCCACUGGGUAGGUUUGCUCCCAGCCACCCUACCAGCACAGGCAAUGAAGGGCAAGCACAUCAGGCUGUUGCCCAAGGAGUUUGGUGUCAUUUGUAUGUGAACUGCAGGCUGGGAUGCUCCAUAAUGUAUCCUAGAAUGGCUUGCUCAGGAGAAGCAUGUCUCAGUCAUAACAUACGAAGAACCUUGAAUGAGGACUUUGGGAUAGGAGGAGUUGGGACUUCAGACUUGAUGGUCCCACAAGUUCAGCUUUAUUAGGAUAUCUUGAUUGUUUUCUACUCACAUUUCCUUUUGCAAGCCUCUAUCCUCAUCCUUCUAUUUUCUUUCUUACCCCCUCUAUCCCUUAAAAGCCCCACCAUCUGGGCCUUGGAAAGAGGUCCAUUCCAGUGGGUUUGGAUGAAGUUAUUACUCUUGGCUAAGAUGAGGUUCCUUUACCCAGUAGGGGGCAGUGCAUAAAUCUGGAGCCGAUGCAGAGCUGCUGUGCAGAGCCCUCGUGGAAAUGAGACCUCCAGAAGUUACUUAAGUUUGAAGCACUGCUGCAAAGUUAAAUGACUGCAAUCUCUGCUGAUACUCAGCUUAAUGAGCACUCACUGCAUAUGGCAAGGUGAAUUAGGCAUUGAUGAAAAUGUGAGCUAAAGUUUCCUGGAAUAUACUCUGAUGUGUCCAGCAAGAAUGCAGGAUGAUACAAUUACAUUUGUAAUAAACAGAAGAGAAAGCAGCUUCAAGCAAAAAGGGCAUUCAGUGAACACUGCCACCUGAAGAUGAUUCUGUUCUCACUCUCAGUGGAUAAGCUGGAUGCUGGCAGUAAUGGCAGAACAUUUACAGAAGGACUGCAGCUGUCAAGGUAGGACACUGUGAUCUGUAUUCACGUGCGGUGCUGAUGUCUUGUUAAGCUUCUCCUGAAGAUCCAAUAUUUUUAUGAAGUGCAACGAAGUCAAAAAGUCUGAACUACUGAGGUCUUCCUAGAACUGGCUUCCCUUCAGACUGUACUAACGCCUAACACAUUGGAUGUCAGGCAUAUUUCCUGUUUCAAAAAGUUGUUUUUAUGUUAAUGCAACAGUUUAAGCC